UGGGGGCGGAAGAAGAACCUAUACAUGAGGACAUGGCAACCUAGAGAUCAUCAGAGGAUAGCGAGGUCGAGAGCCAACCGAUAGACCCUGAGUCAUGGAAAGAUGGUGACAUUGUUACGAUAUCCAAGCCAAGACUGUACAGGAUCACAGCUCUGGUGUGUAGCGAGUGGCCAUCAAAUGCAAAGCCAGAAACUCAUGAUGACGUAAAAACAGCUUCAAUUAUUCUGAAAGAAAUAUAUAUGUAUAUAAGACAUCUUCAGAGGAUGAAUCGGAUAAAGAGAGACGUACUUUGCGUAUCACGGUUAUUCAUCUCACCUGCUGGUUUUGCAUGAAGCAUGAUUUUUUGUAAAAAGUAAGGAGGUUGAUCAGCAGAGAUGCAAAGAUGACAUUACGGUUGACGUUAUUAUGGCCAUUGUAGUAAAAACCACGUAUCACUGUUUGAAAAGAGAACUUUUUGAAAACUAUGCAACCUGCGUGACAGACUUCCAAUGUACUCAGCCACGUUCAUUGGUCCUGGGAUUGCCCAGAAAUAUUUCACCAGAUUAGAUAUAUUUCUUCUCAUCUGAAAAUGGUUUGGGUUCUAAAUAUAAUUAUGGCUGAAGCCUACAAACUGAAGCAGCUGAACAUGACCACUGAAACUGUAACCGAUGUCAAAAUGAUCAGGGAGGUAACAGAGACAGCAGACCCGUUGGCAUUGCUGAUAGGCCUUUCAAAGAAGGUGUCAGCAGUAAUUGGCCAAUCAGUGUGGAGUAUGGUUUGUAAAAUGAAUCAUAAAACUUUUUACAUGCCAUUUCCUUAUCCUAAAGGGUUGUGAUAAAUAAAGUGGUGGGAUAGCACUCUUUGAUUGACACUCAGCUAGCCAGUUAGCUGUAAAAUCCCUCUUGGUAGCUGUUCUCUGCUUACUUUAUCUGUAAAUGGUUAACAAGCCCACAGGUAAAAGAAAAGGAAUGGGCACCUGACCGAA